GUGCCUGCUUCAGCAGCACAUAUACUAAAAAUUGGAAUAAUACAGACAAGAUGAACAUGACCCCUGUGUAAAGAUGACAUGCAAAUUUGAAGCAUUCCGUAUUUUU
ensembl:snRNA U6 U6 spliceosomal RNA